rnacentral:lncRNA from 1 species
ACAAAUGUCAAAGAGAAGGCCCCUGCUGGUUCAUUGAACUGGUGUCUUGAAUUUCGAACAUACACCCACUAUCUCCAUUGACUCUAGAGGCUGCGAGAGUUAGCAGCAGACAUGUACGAUCCAUCUAAACCAUAAAUUUUGAAAUAAAGUUCAUGCUAAAUAAACUAUCUAGUUUGAGCAGGAUCCAAUAGUCAUUCAAUAAAUAUUCGUAAGUUACAAAUAUUAGGCUGAAAUCAUGUGAUAGGUUAAAUCGAAUAGCAAUAAAACUUGAACAAAAUAAGGAGCGCAAACCACUGGGAACGUUUAGCUAAUCGGGAAAAGGGGAAAGGACAGAACCAAUCCAUCUUGAAUAAAGAACAUUCACAGGUUAAAAAAAAUGAAAUUGCGACUCCAAAGAAUAUCAAUGGAUUUUAUAACAUCUAUGCAAGAUGAACAUCAACAUCAAAAUCGAUAUUAUGACAUUAAGAAAAUAAUAACACGUCGAUAGAGAUCUUUUAAAUAAAACAAAGAAUCUAUGUGACAUAUUAGCAUUUAAAUCUCGUUGAGCAAAAACGACACUAAAUUAGCAUUCUAACCCUU